AGUCGAGCGGAUGAAGGGAGCUUGCUCCCGGAUUCAGCGGCGGACGGGGAGUAAUGCCUAGGAAUCUGCCUGGUAGUGGGGGACAACGUUCCGAAAGGAGCGCUAAUACCGCAUACGUCCUACGGGAGAAAGUGGGGGAUCUUCGGACCUCACGCUAUCAGAUGAGCCUAGGUCGGAUUAGCUAGUAGGUGGGGUAAUGGCUCACCUAGGCGACGAUCCGUAACUGGUCUGAGAGGAUGAUCAGUCACACUGGAACUGAGACACGGUCCAGACUCCUACGGGAGGCAGCAGUGGGGAAUAUUGGACAAUGGGCGAAAGCCUGAUCCAGCCAUGCCGCGUGUGUGAAGAAGGUCUUCGGAUUGUAAAGCACUUUAGGUUGGGAGGAAGGGCAGUAGGUUAAUACCUUGCUGUUUUGACGUUACCAACAGAAUAAGCACCGGCUAACUUCGUGUCAGCAGCCGCGGUAAUACGAAGGGUGCAAGCGUUAAUCGGAAUUACUGGGCGUAAAGCGCGCGUAGGUGGUUUGGUAAGAUGGAUGUGAAAUCCCCGGGCUCAACCUGGGAACUGCAUCCAUAACUGCCUGACUAGAGUACGGUAGAGGGUGGUGGAAUUUCCUGUGUAGCGG
rnacentral:rRNA from 1 species